CCCGCACAAGCGGUGGAGCAUGUGGUUUAAUUCGAUGCAACGCGAAGAACCUUACCUGGGCUUGACAUCCCGGGAAUCCCCUGGAAACAGGGGAGUGCCCUUCGGGGAACCCGGUGACAGGUGCUGCAUGGCUGUCGUCAGCUCGUGUCGUGAGAUGUUGGGUUAAGUCCCGCAACGAGCGCAACCCUUGUCAUUAGUUGCUACGAAAGGGCACUCUAAUGAGACUGCCGGUGACAAACCGGAGGAAGGUGGGGAUGACGUCAAGUCCUCAUGGCCCUUAUAGGUGGGGCUACACACGUCAUACAAUGGCUGGUACAAAGGGUUGCCAACCCGCGAGGGGGAGCCAAUCCCAUAAAGCCAGUCGUAGUCCGGAUCGCAGUCUGCAACUCGACUGCGUGAAGUCGGAAUCGCUAGUAAUCGUGGAUCAGCAUGUCACGGUGAAUACGUUCCCGGGUCUU
rnacentral:rRNA from 1 species